rnacentral:snRNA from 1 species
AUACUUACCUGGCCAGGGAGAUAGGAUGAUGAUGAAGGUUGUUUUCCCAGGGUAAGGCUUAUCCAUUGUACUCCGGACGUGGAUUUUGCCAAGUGUGGUAAACUCAACUGCAUAAUUUGUGGUAGUGGGGGACUGCAUUAGUGCUCUUCCUUG